UGCCAGCCGCCGCGGUAAUACGUAGGUGGCGAGCGUUAUUCGGAUUUAUUGGGCGUAAAGGGUUCGUAGGGGGUUUGUUAAGUUUGGUGUGAAAGCCCGAGGCUCAACCUCGGAAUUGCAUUGGAUACUGGCAAGCUAGAGCAUAGGAGAGGAGAGUGGAAUUCCUGGUGUAGCGGUGGAAUGCGUAGAUAUCAGGAGGAACACCAAUGGCGAAGGCAGCUCUCUGGACUAUUGCUGACCCUGAGGAACGAAAGCUAGGGGAGCGAACAGGAUUAGAUA
rnacentral:rRNA from 1 species